rnacentral:lncRNA from 1 species
AUGCCACAAGAAAUCCUUCUGUAGAGAGGAAGUCAAGCAGCCCAACCAAGAGGGGCUCUUUUUUUUUGUGCGGCGCCAGACAAAGCAGCUAUCUAAAACAAAAUGUGAGAUUUCUGAAACUAAAGCCGAGUUGCCUUUUAACCUCCUUAGGGGUCCGUGGAUCCAAGUGAGGAGCUACCAACUCACUGAGUCCCUUUCCUAAGAAAACAAGUGGGGAGAGGCCAAGGCAUUGCAUGCUCUCCCAGGCAUUCCACGGGCCCGGCCACCCCCGUUAGCGGAGCCGACGAGGAACAUCUCUCUGGACCUUGUUCAGCUUCUCCGCCAGGGUCUCGAGCUCCGUCAGCGCCAUCUGAAGGGGCAGCCUGUCAGGAUGUCCUUUGGCUGUGUUCUUCAGCAUGUCCUGUGAGCAGGAGGCAGAGUACGGGUGGUCAACAAGAAUGCUUUUGACC